AGUUCAACCAAUCCCUGUUUUCAAGCGUUGAAUUCCCAAAUAUAAAAUACAAUGUCUAGUGGAACAUGUUAAAUGCCUGAAUGUAGUACAUGCCUGUUUUAGUACAACAAAUCAAAGAACUGGAUGCAGUAAAAUGAAUAGUACAAAUGUACGAUGUUGAUACAACUUGUACUUUGUGAAAAGCACACUAUAUUAACAACAUUUUAGAGCUGAAUUCAGGGAGAAAAUGCAGAAAACAAGAUUUGAGGGGUUAAAAACCUCAUUGAGUGCAGCGUUGAUGACAUCGUCCAUCCAUGUCUCUCCGGAUGUCGUUUCAUUGACGCUGCACUCAAUAGUGUUUUUAAUUCUUAAAGCACUUCAAACAAGCAGAUUCACAUUCUUACUUCUAUGGUAUAUAUUUCCUAUCGAUUUUCCCCUGUUUAUUGGUUUUGUUAGUUUCUGCUAUUGUCGAUACAGAAAUCAAACAGCAUUCUGUCUAGUUAUAUGACUAGAUUCAAUACCAAGAAACGUCUAGAUGAGGCACUGGACCUAUUUUAUCUGUCUAUAGGCACCAAGCACCGUCGUUCCUACUUAGAAAACGCAGAAACAUAUCCUUGAAUCAACCGCAACUAUGGGGCCAUUACUCCUUCAAUUGUAUAGGCAAGAGAAUCCACCAAAUCGACUUUGAAAAGCAAUUCUUGCAAAGCUUGUAAAGAGUCAUACGCUGGAUCAAGUUUCUGCUGCCAGCCCUGCACCAAAAGUUCAAGGAAAAGAGUAUUGAAUUACGGCAUACACCACAUUAUAUAUAUUGUAUGUUUUUUUCAUUGUGUAUAUGUAUAAAAUAUUUUAAACUUCAUUA